UUCCUUCCCUGUAUGCCUCACACACAGUCAAGGCUUGGCCGUUUAUCACAGGGAUGGAUACUGGCAAGCUACCGAGUGUUGUAGCUUUGAUUAUUCCUUGAAGAGCGGUCUGCUUUUUAAAUACAUUUCCAAUUAUCCCUUCAUAAACCGCACAUUUUGUGAAUUUGUUUGAGACAUAUCCGACAUGGGUGGACUGGGGAACGGUCGGCGUGGAGGAAGAGCCCCGACGUUGAUGGUCGCCGCCCUAAUUGCCUGUAUUUUGGUUUUGGGCUUUAACUACUGGGUGUCCAGCGCUCACAACCUGGAGCUACAGACCAAGCUGAACGAGCUGGAAGACCGGGUGCGACGCGGAGCGGCCGAGCGAGGCGAAGCCGAGAUGAAGAAGAAAGCCUUUCAGGAGCAGAUCGGUCGCAUCGAAAGCGUUCACCGGAAAGAGCUCGACGACGUCCGUAACACCCACAGCCAGGAGAAGGCCAAACUCCUGGAAAACAUUUCCUCCAUGACCAAAACCAUAGAAGAACUUAAAGGUCAGCUUAAUCGGCAGAACGAGGACCUGAGGAAGCUUCAGAAAGAGCUGCAGAGCUGCAAAGCCGACACAAGCGUCCUCAACAACAAACUCACAGUUGACAUGGCCCACUGCCAGUCCCAGGUGCUGUCCCAAAAGAAACUGUGCGACGAGAAGGUGGCUGCUGUUAAACUAGAAGCCCAGAAGAACGCGCAGAAAGUCCUCCCCGUUCCAGCUGACCCAGCCCAGAAAAACGCAGAGACCGGCGAUGGGAAAGAAGACCCAACGGUGAAGGCUGUUCCCAGCGAGGGUGAAACAACAGCUGCUGCUGCGAGCCAGAAUCCAAACAUCCCUCAGGGCAAAAGGGAUAAACCGUCUGAGCUGCUGACCAACGACAUCGACACUGAGAGAGAUUUCUCAGAACAGCCUCCGAGCGACGAGCUUCCUAAAGUCGAAUCCCAGACCGCUCUGUCAACCGCUUCAGACACUCGGGACAAGCCGCCGGCGAACGAGGGAGAGGGUAAACCCGCGAAGGCCGAGGCGACGCCUGGAAAGGGUCUGACGAACAAUCUGACGGGCGACGGAGACAUCGAGGUGAUGGACGUCCACGAGGACGGCGCCCAGACUGAAGAAACAGACCCUGGGAUGGAGGACAUGCUGAUCGGUCAAGGAAAGCCAGACACGGACGCCGAUCAGAAGCUGGAGGAAGCCGACGAGUACGACACGGACGAGCACGUGGUUGGCGGAGCCGACUUGGAGAAAGAGCAGAGAAAUCGAAACAUGGAGGAGGAGAUGGCUGACUACAACGGAGACGACGAGAACGAGGGAGAGUUUGAAGCCGACAAACAAGCUGCACUCGCUCAGAUCUAAGAGACAAAGUUGAAGAAGAACCCCGCACAUCUACCAUUCAGAGAACAGAAAACGUUGCGGAAAAAAAACCCCCAAACCAUCUGGACGAUCAGUUAAGCUUUUUCUUCCCCCCCUCCCUCCUUUGAGCAUCUGCCGCACGUCGUUUCGUUUCCAGACGUUUUAGCGAAUGCCAAACAUGGCCGAAGACAUCUCAAGACUCCGCGGUAUCUGGGCCACGUCGACGCAGAUUAAAACGAAACGCUUCUGGUGACGCGUUGACAUGUCUUAUGGUGACGCGAAAGCAGCUGUGAAUUCAGAUAUCAACGUGCACCUGUUGGGUUUCAGAGUGUGAAAUACUGGGACCAGUGUCAAGAUCUGGGAGGGUGCCGUUGCUCAUUUCAGCCAGCAGAGGGCUCUGCGUUACAAUUCUCAAUAUAGCAUCUUUAGCAAGGCUCAACUUUUUCCUCUGGAUAGCUUCUCCUAGAACUUUUUUUUUUUUUUUUUGUAUUUGAAUUUACUUUAAGUCAGUAUUUUCGGAUCUCCUACAUAUUCUUUAACCUCUUCUUCCAUUAACUGAAGGAGAUGGCCUUUCCCGUUUAUAGUUUCCUGUUACAUUUCUCUGAUAUGAAUGUGGCCUAAAAGCGGUUGGGUUUCAUUAUUAUUUAUUUUCUAAAAACAAACGUAUUUAUGAAUAUAUUUCAUUUUUAUAGUCGAUUCAGAUGCGUCCGAAACUUCAUUUCACCGCUAUACAUUUUAUAUUCAAUAAUUCAAUUCCAUGCCAUAGUAGUAGGGUUCAGGCAUUUCAAGGGGAGCCGUCUUUUGUUCUGGGAAGACAUCACAUGGGUUGUGAUUUGCAGCGUUGCGUAUCUAACAUCGGUAAAGUGGGGGAAAUUGUUGGAAAACGCUUAACAAGGAAAUGCCAGAAAGGCUCAUCUGUAGAUCCUGAACGCUGCUGCUGCUCCAUGCCUUAUCUGCUCUUUUAUUUGACUGGUUUUUGGUCAACGUCUGAAGCUGCUGACUCCCUGGUAGGUUGAAUGUUCAGAGACGUUGUCGGCAGGGGCGUCUUAAUAAUUGCUGUAACAUUACUGUAGACAUUUACACGAAGCAGGGGCGUCGCGUCGUGCUCAGUGGCUCCGUGAAGCCGGCCCAGGGCACGGCGACUCUGAGCCGCGUUUGUGUGUUUCAGGCUAAAGCCGGACUGAGCUGGAAAACUGGGUAAGUGCAAAUAUAAACUAGCUGUAGGCACCAGUGGGACAAAAAGUCGAUCAAAACGCAUUGAAGGAAAAUCGCUUGCCAUGUGAUUUGUGUGGAGGAGAAGAGGUGCAUUUAAUUUCCUUUAUAAUGUCUUGUGUAAUGUAGCUGCUGUAGAUUAGGAUUUCCAUAAUGCUUUAUCAUCAGAUGCCUGUUCCAAGACUACAAUGAUCUUGUAGUCGGAGGUUCUCUACUUCAGAAACUCUGCAUAUCUGAAUGAUUUCGCUGCUGUAGCUCGGGGCUGUUAUGUUGUAAUGAAAGUGUAGAUGUUGUGCAGCUGACUGGUUGGAAGGCGACAAAAGUUUGAUUAUUAUUUGGUGAAAUAAAGGAGGAGGGGGAGUUGUAAAUCUUGUUCUGCAUCAUUUCUAACCUAGUAAAAAAACUUCUGUAUGUUCAGAUUUCACCAUUUGUUGUCUUCUGUCUGCGUUGUUUUAUGACGCUUAGUUAUUUCCUCUGCUUCUUAACGCAAAACCUGAUCACGUGUUCUAAGAGCUGUUCAUAAAAUAGGCAAAGCUGUUAAGCAGCUUUGCCUAUUUUCCUAAUCCAAAUGAACAAAUUGUCGAACCUUUUACGGCAGAUGUGUUCGGGUGGAAUUGAGGUCAGGUUCAAAGCGACAUGCCGGCUAAUAAACAGCGAGCCUGCAAUGUUUUAGUGUUUUUAACAGAAUAUUAUUUAAAGUAGAAUUGACGGCAAACUGCCGACAAAACUGUAACAGUACCAGAUUGUUUGCCUCCUCUUGUGUUUUCUUUUCGCUUUUGUGUCAUUUUUUUAAAUAUUGUCUGUUGAUGUAAUUUGCAGACACUUUAAUUGUAACGUCAGAAUAAUUUAUCUGUCGACUGGUGUAUAAAAAACAACAACUUUUGUAACAUGCAAACGUGCUAACCUAAAGAGAAAAUGUUUUCAUUUGAUUGUCAUUGUUUUGUUCUUUAUAAUUCAACCUAGCUGUAAUUCUAAAAUGAAAGAUUUAAAUAAUCAUGUUCUUUUAUUGACAGUAGAGAUUAAUAAAAACAUUUUUUUU